GUAUUUCAUGUUUGAAAAUUGAUUUAAGCGAGAAGUUUGCAGGCUGACGACAUCUUUGCCAUGUGCAAUUCAAUCUUUGUAGGAUCUUGAAGCACAAACAAAGAGAUUGUUUGUGCUUUAUCUAAGUGAUUGUUUGAACAGUUUUAUAGCAUGCAUCUUGACAAUUAAUAUAAUUUUGAAGAUCACUAUCAAGGAAGAAUGUUCAAAAGAAAGUAAAGGCUAAGGAGAAGAUCACGUAAUUAACUACACGGGUCUAGUGAAAAUACUGAAGAAGUAUGACAAGAGAACAGGAGCACUUAUCAGGCAGCCCUUCAUCGAAAAGAAUGCGACGGACAAAAUGGAGUGCCAAAGCCAGCACAAUCAGGUGGGAGGGUUCCGGAGUUGGAGGAGAUUAAAUAUAUGCAGAGCUUAUACAUGAAGAGCACCGUAGCAGCGCUACGGUCUUUGAAACAGAUUAGGAGCAAAAGUUCAACAGUCAAAACAGAUUAGAAAAUCUCGUGUUAUAUUGUUCUACCUUUGUUUUAAUAGUGUUAUCAUUUUGUUGGUUGCUUAUGAAAUUUUGUUGGUUGCUUAUGAAAUUUCUUCAGAAUGUUAUAGAUAUUAUUUUUGAA